AGAACCUUACCAGGUCUUGACAUCCCGAUGCUAUUUCUAGAGAUAGAAAGUUUCUUCGGAACAUCGGUGACAGGUGGUGCAUGGUUGUCGUCAGCUCGUGUCGUGAGAUGUUGGGUUAAGUCCCGCAACGAGCGCAACCCUUAAGCUUAGUUGCCAGCAUUAAGUUGGGCACUCUAAGUUGACUGCCGGUGACAAACCGGAGGAAGGUGGGGAUGACGUCAAAUCAUCAUGCCCCUUAUGAUUUGGGCUACACACGUGCUACAAUGGACAAUACAAAGGGCAGCGAAACCGCGAGGUCAAGCAAAUCCCAUAAAGUUGUUCUCAGUUCGGAUUGUAGUCUGCAACUCGACUAUAUGAAGCUGGAAUCGCUAGUAAUCGUAGAUCAGCAUGCUACGGUGAAUACGUUCCCGGGUCUUGUACACAC
rnacentral:rRNA from 1 species